rnacentral:rRNA from 1 species
GACGAACGCUGGCGGCGUGCUUAACACAUGCAAGUCGAACGAAAAGAGGGAAAGAGCUUGCUCUUUCCGGAAUUGAGUGGCAAACGGGUGAGUAACACGUAAACAACCUGCCUUCAGGAUGGGGACAACAGGCGGAAACGACUGCUAAUACCGAAUAAGUUCCAAGAGCCGCAUGGCCCAUGGAAGAAAAGGUGGCCUCUACCUGUAAGCUAUCGCCUGAAGAGGGGUUUGCGUCUGAUUAGCUGGUUGGAGGGGUAACGGCCCACCAAGGCGACGAUCAGUAGCCGGUCUGAGAGGAUGAACGGCCACACUGGAACUGAGACACGGUCCAGACUCCUACGGGAGGCAGCAGUGGGGAAUCUUCCGCAAUGGGCGAAAGCCUGACGGAGCAACGCCGCGUGAGUGAUGACGGCCUUCGGGUUGUAAAACUCUGUGAUCCGGGACGAAAAGGCAGAGUGCGAAGAACAAACUGCAUUGACGGUACCGGAAAAGCAAGCCACGGCUAACUACGUGCCAGCAGCCGCGGUAAUACGUAGGUGGCAAGCGUUGUCCGGAAUUAUUGGGCGUAAAGCGCGCGCAGGCGGCUUCCCAAGUCCCUCUUAAAAGUGCGGGGCUUAACCCCGUGAUGGGAAGGAAACUGGGAAGCUGGAGUAUCGGAGAGGAAAGUGGAAUUCCUAGUGUAGCGGUGAAAUGCGUAGAGAUUAGGAAGAACACCGGUGGCGAAGGCGACUUUCUGGACGAAAACUGACGCUGAGGCGCGAAAGCGUGGGGAGCAAACAGGAUUAGAUACCAUGGUAGUCCACGCCGUAAACG